rnacentral:lncRNA from 1 species
CCUCGAUCUUCGCUGAGAAGAUUUUCGCAGCGAAAACUAAAGGCUCCGUUUUCGCGCCUAUAGUUUUCACGUGAAAACGAAGCCUAGUAGCUUCGCAGCGCUGCNAAGCGAAAAGGGAAAAGUGCCUUCGUGCACAUCCCUACUUCAAACAAGUCAACUUGCCAUUAAUUCUGACAUUCUUUGUCUUUCCAAGAUGAAUACAUGCAAAUAAAGGAUAGGUUCCCUCUUUCAGAAUUUAGAAUAUUUCCUCUUCUCAAGUACUCCUGCUUGAGAAGUGAUCAAUCUUAAUGGGGUUGUUCUUUGCACAGAAGCUGCAGAAACGGUGUCUACCAACACAGGCUGAACAGAAAAAGGGAGAAGAAGGGAUGANGAGGAGCGGUAAACAAAGAAGAACCCACGAGGUACAAAUCAGAUCAGCUCUGCUUAAAUUCUGUAUGCAGACAGACUUGAUGCUGGGUUGAGAUAUCCCAUUCCAUGCAAUGAUUCUGGACUCUUUCCAUCAUUUUUAGAAUUUUUGGACAACCUUUUGCCCCGUUGGGGAGAAAAGUUUUUAUAAUGAUCUCUUCUUUUACACUUGUUUUCUAUUUUACAAAGUUACAAUGCGUGAAUUGUGACAGCCUUUCAUAUGCAGCAGAAGAGUAGGACAUAAAUUCUUAAAUCAAUAUGGGGGAUGUUGCAGAAACUGUUUUAAAGCAUUCUGAAUAACUGUCUCAGAUUUGUUGCAGGAAACAAGAGAGCUUCUAUAUUAAAGUAGUAUGAAUGAAAUGGGUCUACAGCCAAGGACAAAUACAACCCCCAGGCAGUCCAACAUAGGUUAUGGAAAUCUUGCUGAUUUAUCUUAAACGUUUCUCUUGGGAAAUAAUUUAAAGUUGGCCAGAAUUUCUUUCCUCCUUUAACUUCUUCAGCACAGCUUUUUGAUAUAGGCUUUUAAUGGAAGGGGAAUAGAGCCAACUUAAUACCAAAGAUUCCUCUGCAACUUAUUAUCAGGUCAGCUACAUUUUUCUGCAUUAUCAAGUUAAACUGAAGACCAUGGUGUAUUUGUGUGAUAUUUUCUGAAAAUACAAAAAUUUAAAAUGUUUAAAGUAAGGAUGAAUUUAAAAUUCUAAAUAAAGUUGUUUACUGUUUAAUGCUUAAAAAAAGC